rnacentral:rRNA from 1 species
AGAACGAACGCUGGCGGCAUGCCUAACACAUGCAAGUCGAACGAGACCUUCGGGUCUAGUGGCGCACGGGUGCGUAACGCGUGGGAAUCUGCCCUUGGGUUCGGAAUAACAGUUGGAAACGACUGCUAAUACCGGAUGAUGACGUAAGUCCAAAGAUUUAUCGCCCAGGGAUGAGCCCGCGUAGGAUUAGCUAGUUGGUGAGGUAAAGGCUCACCAAGGCGACGAUCCUUAGCUGGUCUGAGAGGAUGAUCAGCCACACUGGGACUGAGACACGGCCCAGACUCCUACGGGAGGCAGCAGUGGGAAUAUGGACAUGGGCGAAAGCCUGAUCCAGCAAUGCCGCGUGAGUGAUGAAGCCUUAGGUGUAAAGCUUCUUUACCGGGAGUAUAAUGACUGUACCGGAGAAUAAGCUCCGGCUAACUCCGUACCA